AUUCUCCCUAUCUCCCUGAUGUGCCGCCUCACUGCUCACUGGCACCACCGUUUCUAGCUCUUCUCUGUGAGAAAUUCCGCAACAGGAACUGACAAACGGCCAACCAGUAACCAGCUCAACUUGAAACCCAUCCCAUGGACAAGCACCAAUGCAUGACAUCGUUAUCGAUACUCUGUUAUGCUUGUAAACAGGAAGCUAGCAUAACUGUCCUCUAGCGGGCUCUACCUGUUGCCUGUGCUCUGGACUACUUGCUACCUGACGCCACGUGCCCUUGGGUGCUGGGGCUGAGAUGGCACAGAGUCAACGACACAGACUCUGGGAACAGGCUAUGAUCUAGCCACACUGCCCAGCUCCCUGCCCUGAUUCUCUGCAAUGCCUCCGACAUUCCAUGAGUGUUUUUCAGAAUUUUGGGGGUGAAUCUAUUUUCUUCACAGUAAAAUUACCUGGAUCAUC
rnacentral:lncRNA from 1 species